GUUGUAACAUCAACUACAGCAACAGCACUGACCCCAGACACCACAGCAAACUCUCUGAAACCAGUGAUUGUGAUUGUUGUUGCCGCUUCAUUCACUCUUCUCCUUCUGGCUCUUAUUCUCUGGGUGAUUCGUAAAAAACGAGCAGGGAACAGCAGAGGGACUGGUGACUCUGUGGAGCAGACAGAUGACGUGACUUAUACUGAAGUCACUGCGUACAGUAAAAAACAAAGCAAAAAGUACAAGGUUCGCUGUGAUGAUAGAGUGACGUAUGCUUCCAUCAGAGGAGCAAAAGCUGGAGCUCAGGAGAACUGCAGUGAACUUUAUGCCUCUGUGAACAAGAACACACCAGUCAAAUAAUUAUACAAAACACACAUCAGCAGAGGAAUA